GGAGAUCCGAGUUCCCGUACGAUCACUGAAGUUAAGCAACGUCAAGCCUGGUCAAUACUUAGAAGGGUGACGGCUUGAGAAUAUCAGCUGCUGUAAG